CACACGUGUGCUAUUCCGAUCAACCAUUUAAUUCCAAGAUUUAUUUAUGUAACAACUGAAUGAAUUUAAUAAAAGCAUCUAAAUAUGAAACGUUAUGAAAAUAGUUCAAACUGAAAUGCUCCUUGAGCGAUACAUUUUUCCAUUCGAGUGAAUACAGAAUUACAGAUA